GACGAACGCUGGCGGCAUGCCUAAUACAUGCAAGUCGAGCGAACAGAUGAAGUGCUUGCACUUCUGACGUUAGCGGCGAACGGGUGAGUAACACGUAAGGAAUCUACCUAUAAGCGGGGGAUAACAUUCGGAAACGGGUGCUAAUACCGCAUAAUAUCUUCUUCCGCAUGGAAGAAGAUUGAAAGCCGGCUCUGCUGUCACUUAUAGAUGACCUUGCGGUGCAUUAGUUAGUUGGUGGGGUAAUGGCCUACCAAGACGAUGAUGCAUAGGCGACCUGAGAGGGUGAUCGGCCACAUUGGGACUGAGACACGGCCCAAACUCCUACGGGAGGCAGCAGUAGGGAAUCUUCCGCAAUGGGCGAAAGCCUGACGGAGCAAUGCCGCGUGAGUGAAGAAGGCCUUCGGGUCGUAAAACUCUGUUAUAAGAGAAGAACAAAUUGUAGAGUAACUGCUACAGUCUUGACGGUAUCUUAUCAGAAAGCCACGGCUAACUACGUGCCAGCAGCCGCCGUAA
rnacentral:rRNA from 1 species